rnacentral:rRNA from 1 species
AAUCAACGCUGGCGGCGUGCCUCAGACAUGCAAGUCGAACGAUUAAAGCUCUCUUCGGAGAGUGCAUAAAGUGGCGCACGGGUGAGUAACACGUAAGUAAUCUACCUUCGAGUGGGGAGUAACGUCCGGAAACGGACGCUAAUACCGCAUAAUGCAGCGGCAUCGCAAGAUGACAGUUGUUAAAGAUUUAUCGCUUGAAGAGGAGCUUGCGGCAGAUUAGCUAGUUGGUAAGGUAAUGGCUUACCAAGGCUACGAUCUGUAACCGGUCUAAGAGGACGGUCGGUCACACUGACACUGAAUAACGGGUCAGACUCCUACGGGAGGCAGCAGUCGGGAAUUUUGGGCAAUGGGCGAAAGCCUGACCCA